GGGAGUGUUAACUCUAGAGGAUUCCAGGUAAGAAGGAAGUGACUCUUCGGCCGUGAGCUCCUCUUCUUCUUGCUGACCUUGUUCGUCUGAACAAGGAAAAGCAUCAUGUUUUUCCAACUCUUUUAAGUUAAUAUCUCCCCGAGCAACAUCUUUCAGUAUCUCCUGACUGGAGGAUAAGGAAGAUGGUGUGGACAAUUUGAGAGCAGAGGGUGCUAAAAACAAGGAUGAUUUUAUUGGAGAUGAAGUUCGGGUAAAGAAUGACACCAAAUACAACGUUUAUAGAAAAAAUGUCUCUUCUUAUGAACAAUCACAUCUACAUGGUUUAGUACUUUGGUAAGAGCAACUCACUCAUUCCAGGCUCAGUCAGAUAGCUGUAGCGCUUACGUAAAGCAAGGG